AUGAGACAGCCUCAGACAGCCCACAUGCCUCCCGCAAAUAUGUGGAUGCCAACAGACAGCUGCCACUCACACAGCCACCUUCAACCCACUCAUCUAUCACCAGUGGAAGCUGCCCAGGAGCUCCGGAAAUGCACGGCAGCAGGAGAAGGAUAUGUGAAGACUAGCCUCACAAGUGUGAUAGGAUUCCCAUGUUGGGGACAUGCCAGUUCCAUUUUAACAUUAAGGAAGCAAAGAUAGGGAGAAACCUUUGGCAAAGUGAACAAAAAUACAUAAAGGUACACCAUGAGAGCCUGGAGGAAAGUUUCUCUUUCUUUACUAUUCCUAGAAAAAUACUUUCUUAUGUUGGGAUCAGAACCUUAGAGUUGGAAAGACUCUUAGAAAUAAAAUCUUCUAGUGAAUAAAUAAAGAAGUUGAGACCCAAAGAAGUGGGUUGGUUGGUUGUUUUUGAGACAGAGUCUUGCUCUGUUGCCCAAGCUGGUAUGCAGUGGUGCAAUCUUAGCUCACUGCAACCUCCGCUUCCCAGGUUCAAGUGAUUCUCGUUCCUCAGCUUCUCAAGUAGCUGCAGAUGGAACUACAGGUGUGCACUACCAUGCCAGACUAAUUUUUUUUUUUUUUUUUUUUUUUGAGACAGAGUCUCGCUCUGUCACCUAGGCUGGAGUGCAGUGGCUUCAUCUCAGCUCACUGCAAGCUCCACCUCCUGGGUUGACACCAUUCUCCUGCCUCAGGCUCCCGAGUAGCUGGGACUACAGGCGCCCACCACCAUGCCCAGCUAAUUUUUUUGUGUUUCUUAGUAGAAGAGGGGUUUCACCAUGUUAGCCAGGAUGGUCUCGAUCUCCUGACCUCGUGAUCCACCCGCCUCAGGCUCCCAAAGUGCUGGGAUUACAAGCGUGAGCCAACGUGCCCAGCGCCACAGCAGACUAAUUUUUGUAUUUUUAGUAGAGACGGGGUUUUGCCACGUUGGCCAGGGUGGUCUCAAACCCCUUACCACAGGUGAUCUGCCCACCUCGGCCUCCCAGAGGGCUGGGAUUACAGGCCUGAGCCACCACACCUGGCCAGAAGUGAUAUGUUUUAUCCAACAUCAGGGUAUGAGUAAUUUUCAUUUCUAACUUAAAACUCUUCCUGCUAUACUGCACUGUCCAUAAUAUCUUUUAUACAUUUGGGUUUGAAAGUUCUAUUUUUCUCAAAAUAACGUAAGCACAUAGAAAAUCAAAUAAUGCUCAAAACCAGCAAUUCUCUUCCUCUACCCCACCCAUCUUCUCCCCAAAGGUAGCCACUUUCAACUCUUCAGGAAGUUUCUCUGAUUUUCACCUCGA
rnacentral:lncRNA from 1 species